rnacentral:rRNA from 1 species
CAGUAACGGCGAGUGAAGCGGAAGAGCUCAAGCUUGAAAUCUCCUUGCAGUCUCUGCUCGGCGAAUUGUAGUCUAUCGAGGCGAAGUCAGCGCGCAGGAUCCGGCCAAGUUCCUUGGAAGAGGACAGCAUGGAGGGUUACACUCCCGUCUCUGCCGGCAAAUGCGCGCGUACGACUCGUCUUCUUUGAGUCGCGUUGUUUGGGAAUGCAGCGCAAAGCAGGUGGUAAAUUCCAUCUAAAGCUAAAUACCUGUGCGAGACCGAUAGCGAACAAGUACCGUGAGGGAAAGAUGAAAAGAACUUUGAAAAGAGAGUUAAAGAGUACCUGAAACUGCUGAAAGGGAAGCGAAUCGCGUCCGCUGUCCAUUCCGUGCUCAACACCGCUUCGGCGGUUGAUGCGGAGGAGUCAAAGUCAGUUUGGUGUCGAAGGUAAAGUCGACUGUGCGCGUAGCAUGGCUGCCUUUCGGGGCUGGUCCUACGAGAAACGUUGUGCGCUGCCUCGGCCAGGACUGAGGCGAUAACAGCAAUCGUGUGUGCUCCGUAAGUUUGUGCGGAGAUCGGAUAGGCAGACCCCUACCUCCUGGUGAGAUGCGGCACUAUAAAUGAGACGCAUGUACGCGAG